rnacentral:rRNA from 1 species
UAGGGAAUCUUCGGCAAUGGGGGCAACCCUGACCGAGCAACGCCGCGUGAGUGAAGAAGGUUUUCGGAUCGUAAAGCUCUGUUGUAAGAGAAGAGCGUGUGUGAGAGUGGAAAGUUCACACAGUGACGGUAACUUACCAGAAAGGGACGGCUAACUACGUGCCAG